GUGAGAGGGGAAUGAUAGAUGAGGCCCAGAAAGCUCUAGAAGAGGCAGAGGCUCUGAAAAAGCUGGGUGGACGGCAAGAGCCUGUUAUAGAACCUUCAAAGUAUAGUGCUGUUGAUGUUCGAAUAACCGAUCAGAAGUUGCGUGUAUGCGAUAUUUGUGGAGCAUUCUUGAGUGUCUAUGACAAUGAUCGUCGCCUGGCUGAUCAUUUUGGAGGGAAACUUCAUCUGGGAUAUAUGCAAAUCCGUGAGAAACUAGCAGAACUCCAGCACACUGUGAACUGGGAGGGAUCCUUUGAAGUACCAAAGGUGGCCAUAUAUGGACUCAGAGAAUCAGUUCUAUUCCUUACCUGGACAACUGCAAUAAAUGAAAGUCUGUAAGCAGAUGAGCUGUAUGUGAUGCAUAUUAAAAUUGGUAGCAAAAUGUUCUGUUUGUUCCACUUUAAAGAAAUUGCUUAUUUUUUCAUGACCCUGGCUUUUAUUUUGUGAUUUGGGGUCUGAUUUGAAAGCAGAAGCUUCUUAACACCUGUUAGGUAACUUAUGAGCCAUCUUAACUGUCACUGUCUGUCUGGUUUAAGUGUUUCUGAAGCACCUAUUUUGAUUGGUGGUGAACUUUUAGAAUUUACAGUUUUUAAUGAGCACCUGUUUUAAUUUUGACACUUCCUUCACCUUGUUAUGAAUAAUAAAUGAUUAUGUGAUACAAAGAAAUGCUUAUUCUCAAUGUUAUGUGUUUGCCCAAAUGCUGGCAUCUAGAUUUUUAAAUACAUUUCUUAGUAGAAAUUUGAAAGUCUCUUUUUGAAUGCAUUAGUUCAAUGACAAUUUUGAUUUCAAGCAAAAUCUGUCAUUGGCUUCAUUUUUCUGGUUGACAAUUGAUUUUAAGACUUCUGUAAUCUUUAUUCACCUUGUGUCUUGCUAUGAGGACUUUCUCAAGUAGGCUAUUAGUGUGUUCUUAAUUGGGUGAAUCUUCAUUUCUCUGAUAAAAUUUCAAAUGAUGUAUCACUGGGAACUAGUUAAAAUAAUCCUUUUACAUAUAUGGUUUUAUCGAUGCCUAAAGUGAUAUGCAUGUUUUAAACUUUUACAAUGUAUGUGGAGCAAAUUCAAGGGCAUUUUUUUGAAGAUUAUUUAUUUUGAAUUUCUUUGCUUCUGUUACUUUUGACCAUAUUGAAACAUCAUGAUUUUGUUGAGAUUAAUUGGAUAUGGUCCACUUGUUUUUUCUUAAAACGUCAAUGUCUUCACAAUUUAGUUUUCCAGGAAGAGAGGGACAAGAAACGAAAGAUUGAUCGAUCUGAAGAUGAUAGAAGGUCAAAAGAACGGAGUAGGGAUGAUGACAGGGCAGGAAGCAGAGAUCGAGAUAUAAAUAGAGAUGUUCGAGGUGAUAACCGAGAUAGAGGCAGGGAACAUGAUCGACGAAACAGGGACCAUGAUCGGCAUUAUGAUAGAGGUCAUAGAGACCGAGAU